CCUACGGGUGGCAGCAGUGGGGAAUAUUGCGCAAUGGGCGCAAGCCUGACGCAGCGACGCCGCGUGAGGGAUGAAGGUCUUCGGGUCGUAAACCUCUUUCAGCAGGGAAGAACGGUCACUGUGCUAAUCAGCAGUGAAUUGACGGUAACUACAAAGGAAGCACCGGCUAACUCCGUGCCAGCAGCCGCGGUAAUACGGAGGGUGCGAGCGUUAAUCGGAAUUACUGGGCGUAAAGCGCUCGUAGGCGGUACGUCAAGGCAAGGGUGAAAGCCCCGCGCUUAACGUGGGAAUUGCCUUUGAAACUGGGAAACUGGAGUGUGUGAGAGGAUAGUGGAAUUCCAGGUGUAGCAGUGAAAUGCGUAGAUAUCUGGAGGAACAUCAGUGGCGAAGGCGACGAUCUGGCACAUAACUGACGCUGAGGAGCGAAAGCGUGGGUAGCAAACAGGAUUAGAUACCCGUGUAGUC
rnacentral:rRNA from 1 species